rnacentral:tRNA from 2 species
UGGGGUGUAGCCAAGUGGUAAGGCAACGGGUUUUGAUCCCGUCAUUCGCAGGUUCGAUCCCUGCCACCCCAGCCA